rnacentral:rRNA from 1 species
GCGGAGGCUAACCAUGCAAUUCGAGCGCGCCUUCGGGUGAGCGGCGGACGGGUUAGUAACGCGUGGGAACGUGCCCUUCUCUACGGAAUAGCCUCUGGAAACGGAGAGUAAUACCGUAUACGCCCUUUGGGGGAAAGAUUAUCGGAGAAGGAUCGGCCCGCGUUAGAUUAGGUAGUUGGUGGGGUAACGGCCUACCAAGCCUACGAUCUAUAGCUGGUUUUAGAGGAUGAUCAGCAACACUGGGACUGAGACACGGCCCAGACUCCUACGGGAGGCAGCAGUGGGGAAUCUUAGACAAUGGGGGCAACCCUGAUCUAGCCAUGCCGCGUGAGUGAUGAAGGCCUUAGGGUCGUAAAGCUCUUUCGCCUGUGAUGAUAAUGACAGUAGCAGGUAAAGAAACCCCGGCUAACUCCGUGCCAGCAGCCGCGGUAAUACGGAGGGGGUUAGCGUUGUUCGGAAUUACUGGGCGUAAAGCGCGCGUAGGCGGAUUAGAAAGUUGGGGGUGACAUCCCGGGGCUCAACCCCGGAACUGCCUCCAAAACUGCUAGUCUAGAGUUCGAGAGAGGUGAGUGGAAUUCCGAGUGUAGAGGUGAAAUUCGUAGAUAUUCGGAGGAACACAGUGGCGAAGGCGGCUCACUGGCUCGAUACUGACGCUGAGGUGCGAAAGUGUGGGGAGCCAACAGGAUUAGAUUACCUGGUAGUCCACACCGUAAACGAUGAAUGCCAGUCGCGGAUAGAUACUAUUCGGUGCACACUACCGGAU